AAAUUGAAGAGUUUGAUCAUGGCUCAGAUUGAACGCUGGCGGCAGGCCUAACACAUGCAAGUCGAACGGUAACAGGAAGCAGCUUGCUGCUUUGCUGACGAGUGGCGGACGGGUGAGUAAUGUCUGGGAAACUGCCUGAUGGAGGGGGAUAACUACUGGAAACGGUGGCUAAUACCGCAUAACGUCGCAAGACCAAAGAGGGGGACCUUCGGGCCUCUUGCCAUCAGAUGUGCCCAGAUGGGAUUAGCUUGUUGGUGAGGUAACGGCUCACCAAGGCGACGAUCCCUAGCUGGUCUGAGAGGAUGACCAGCCACACUGGAACUGAGACACGGUCCAGACUCCUACGGGAGGCAGCAGUGGGAAUAUUGCACAAUGGGCGCAAGCCUGAUGCAGCCAUGCCGCGUGUAUGAAGAAGGCCUUCGGGUUGUAAAGUACUUUCAGCGGGGAGGAAGGUGUUGUGGUUAAUAACCGCAGCAAUUGACGUUACCCGCAGAAGAAGCACCGGCUAACUCCGUGCCAGCAGCCGCGGUAAUACGGAGGGUGCAAGCGUUAAUCGGAAUUACUGGGCGUAAAGCGCACGCAGGCGGUCUGUCAAGUCGGAUGUGAAAUCCCCGGGCUCAACCUGGGAACUGCAUUCGAAACUGGCAGGCUUGAGUCUUGUAGAGGGGGGUAGAAUUCCAGGUGUAGCGGUGAAAUGCGUAGAGAUCUGGAGGAAUACCGGUGGCGAAGGCGGCCCCCUGGACAAAGACUGACGCUCAGGUGCGAAAGCGUGGGGAGCAAACAGGAUUAGAUACCCUGGUAGUCCACGCCGUAAACGAUGUCUACUUGGAGGUUGUGCCCUUGAGGCGUGGCUUCCGGAGCUAACGCGUUAAGUAGACCGCCUGGGGAGUACGGCCGCAAGGUUAAAACUCAAAUGAAUUGACGGGGGCCCGCACAAGCGGUGGAGCAUGUGGUUUAAUUCGAUGCAACGCGAAGAACCUUACCUGGUCUUGACAUCCACAGAAGAAUCCAGAGAUGGAUUUGUGCCUUCGGGAACUGUGAGACAGGUGCUGCAUGGCUGUCGUCAGCUCGUGUUGUGAAAUGUUGGGUUAAGUCCCGCAACGAGCGCAACCCUUAUCCUUUGUUGCCAGCGGUUAGGCCGGGAACUCAAAGGAGACUGCCAGUGAUAAACUGGAGGAAGGUGGGGAUGACGUCAAGUCAUCAUGGCCCUUACGACCAGGGCUACACACGUGCUACAAUGGCGCAUACAAAGAGAAGCGACCUCGCGAGAGCAAGCGGACCUCAUAAAGUGCGUCGUAGUCCGGAUUGGAGUCUGCAACUCGACUCCAUGAAGUCGGAAUCGCUAGUAAUCGUGGAUCAGAAUGCCACGGUGAAUACGUUCCCGGGCCUUGUACACACCGCCCGUCACACCAUGGGAGUGGGUUGCAAAAGAAGUAGGUAGCUUAACCUUCGGGAGGGCGCUUACCACUUUGUGAUUCAUGACUGGGGUGAAGUCGUAACAAGGUAACCGUAGGGGAACCUGCGGUUGGAUCACCUCCUUA
rnacentral:rRNA from 1 species